GGCCGCGGCGCCGGCGCUCCCGGGCCUCGCGUUCAACUGGUGGGACCCCGCUGCGGCCCCGGCCCGGCCCGGCUCGGCACGGCCCGGCUGAGGAGGAUGCGGGCGGCGGCGCGGCGGCCGCAGGCGGGCGGCGGGCAGCGGCGCGGCGCCUGAGCGCAGGGCUCCGCUCCGCUCCCGAGGAUGCUGCGGGGCGAUGCCCGGCGACAGGGAGGACGAGAUCUGCCAGAAAGCGCUGCAGCUGCUGGCCGAGCUGUGCUCCGUCGGGGCGGUGGAGAACGAGAACUGCCGGGAUUUCAUCUACUACCUGCGGGACAGAGCGCGGCCCCGCCUCAGCGACUCAGACAUCUCCGUAAGCCUGCUGUCCCUGGUGGUCACAGCCUGCGGGCUGGCUCUGUUCGGCGUGUCCCUCUUCGUGUCCUGGAAGCUGUGCUGGAUCCCGUGGCGGGAGCGGGGCCUGCCCUUCGGCAGCAAGGACAGCAAGCAGGAGCCGCUGCGGUACGCGGAGGCGGAGGCCGAUGGCCGUGAGUACAGCCAGGAUUUCCUGGGGCAGCCCGCCGCCUUCCCCGAGGCCUCCAUGAAGAUCAGCCACACCUCGCCGGACCUGCCGCUGGACAGCCAGGCUGGGGCCAGGGAGAACUGCCUGCCCAACGCGCGCGUGCAGCGCCAGGUCACCGAGCCCACCGCGUCUGCACGGCACAACUCACUGCGGAGACAGCUCAACCUGUCCAACCCUGACUUCAACAUCCAGCAGGUGCAGAAGCAGGAGCAGCUGACGGGCAUCGGCCGCAUCAAGCCCGAGCUGUACAAGCAGAGAUCGCUGGACACGGACGACGGCCGCAGGAGCAACAGCAAAGCCUGUGGGAAACUCAACUUCAUCCUCAAGUACGACUGUGACCUGGAGCAGCUGAUUGUGAAGAUCCACAAGGCUGUCAACCUGCCAGCAAAGGACUUCUCUGGGACUUCAGAUCCCUACGUGAAGAUCUACCUGCUCCCCGACAGGAAAACAAAACACCAGACUAAAGUGCACAGAAAGACCCUGAAUCCGGUGUUUGAUGAGGUUUUUUUAUUUACUGUGCCGUACAAUGAUCUCAACACAAGGAAACUCCAUUUCUCUGUCUAUGACUUUGACAGGUUCUCCAGGCACGACUUGAUUGGCCAAGUGGUAGUGGAUAAUUUUUUAGAUUUGGCAGAUUUUCCCAGGGAAUGUAAUAUUUGGAAGGAUAUUGAAUAUGUCACCAAUGAUAACGUGGAUCUUGGUGACCUUAUGUUUUCACUCUGCUACCUUCCAACAGCUGGUAGACUAACUAUUACAAUAAUAAAGGCAAGAAAUUUAAAGGCAAUGGAUAUCACAGGAGCAUCAGAUCCCUACGUGAAGGUUUCUUUAAUGUGUGAAGGAAGGCGGCUAAAGAAAAGGAAAACUUCCACCAAGAGGAACACCCUAAAUCCUGUUUACAAUGAAGCCAUAGUCUUUGAUGUCCCUCCAGAAAACAUUGACCAAAUUAACCUGUCCAUAGCUGUUAUGGAUUAUGACCGUGUAGGUCACAAUGAGGUCAUUGGAGUUUGUCAAGUAGGCAACGAUGCAGAGAGCCUAGGUCGAGACCACUGGAACGAAAUGCUCUCGUACCCUCGGAAGCCCAUCGCUCACUGGCAUCCUCUUGUGGAGGAAUCAAGUGGGGGAGGGUGUCCAGCGCAUCCAGGCUGUGCAGAGAAAUAUAUACACAGCAUAUCAUUUUGGUUCCUGAAUCAGGAUUAGACUCAGCGAGAGCUUCUGGAACCUCUGUGGCCACAGCCAUAGGACCCUGAAUAUUUGCUGAAUAGGACCCUCAGUCUCCUACUGUGUGAAGAGCUAUUGGUUUCAAACAGUGUGAUGUUACCCACUUGUAGCAUUAAUUCUCCAGCUGAAACUACUGCUGCUGAUAGUUUUUUUGUAUGGUCGUAAGCAUUACCCAAAUUCAAGUCAUCGUUUCUGUUCAGUAGAAUAACCCAGGUUUUACAAGCAAAAUGAUAGCAGUGUAAACCAACAAAUAUGGGAAGCAGCAACAACUAUUGUCCUUGUAUUUGCAAAAAAGGUGCAGUAUUGUGAAUGGUUAGCUUUCUGAGUAAUUUUUUUUCAAGAAUGAUUGCCACCGGAUAUUUAUUUUUUGAUGACAAGUUGCGUCCUCAGUCUCAGCUGGUGCCUCCUUUCACCUGACAUGAAAACAAAUUAAAAUGGUUCCUUGAAGAAAUCCUUCAAAUCUGAAAAACUGUAAAAAAAGUUCUGCUGGGUGAGAACAAGAUGCAUAUGGUAUUUGUAAUGACAGCAUGUUCUUUGAGAAAGGAGAUAACCAUCUGUAUAACAUGGAGGUUGUUAAUCCUUAACCUUUGUGGAUGAUUUUCCAGUCAACGUUUCUGAGUCGUGUCCACGACACUGCAGACUGUUGGAAGUGUGUCCCAGGUGGCAAGGCUGGAUCAUCCAAACAAACACACACCCCCCAUGUUGUUUGAAAAUGCUGUUCCAAGUAUAUAGUGCCUGUGAAGACUUCCUUUAUUAUUUGUGGUAGAAUUAGCAGGGCUGUUUUACAUGGUGGUAUAUUGUAAAUUCUGACAAAUUCUGACCAUUAAAAGAAAAUGAAUCAAAGCAUUGCAUUCUGUCACGUAAUGAAAUUUGUGCCCCAAAGCAGGAGACCCUGGGAUAAAUUUUUCACCACUUAUUUAGCCAGACAUGGACUUCUCUCAUCCUCCAGUGUUUUCUACUCACGUCUUUACAGGGGAAUUUUUUGUUUAAAAGAUGCAAAUGCAAAGUAUGGGUGUUUUACCCAACACAGCUGUCUGCCAUGUACUUACAGAGAGAAGGAGGCCUGACUGUUAAAUACAGUUCAGAUAAGUUUAUGUGCACAAGCAUUGCUUCACAUCUUGUAUGUGAUGAAUGUUCACCAAGUGUUUUGGAUCUGCAACUCUGCUGACACAAAUAUGCAUGCACAGAUUGAAGAAAUAGCUAAAAUUUCGGCCUCAAGUCUGAAAAAAUAAUUUUACAACCUAUCAAUGAGGAUCUUCCACAAAAUCAGAAUUAUUUGUGGGUAAAGAAUAUCUUGGAACCUGCAGGAGAUUUUGGAUCUUUUGUAAAUGUAUGCUGCAGGUAUAAAUCAGAAUUCCUGUAAGCACAGAUGUUCUGAAAAAUCUCUUGCCAUUCUGUGGAGAAUACAGCUUUACCUGAUAAAGUAAACAGCACUUCCAAACCUGCCCAAGCACAAUUUCAGGAAGGUAACCACUGGGCAUUUCCAAAAGAAUGAAAAUAAUGUUGCCAUGGCAAAGCUGCUUCACUGCACCUUCAGCUUUCCAUCCAGUGGUACAUGACAAUGUGCAUAUCUGUUCAUGCAUGAGCCCCCCCUCGGGCAGAAUGCUGUGCUCCUUACCCAGGCUCAUCUCCCAGGAGCUCUUCCUUUGGAGUGCAGUUCUCUGAUUUCCUGGACAAACCAUUCCAUUGUAUAUCUACCUGGAAUGCAGAGAAUGCUUCCCACUGCAAUACUGGCAACAGAAACUGCUGGGAAGGGGAAAACACUACACAGCAGCUCAAUGGUGUCCAUGGAAAAGUGCUGGAGCUUUUCUAGGAUUUGUCCCCAGCAGCUCAAAGGGACAUCAGCUGAAGAGUGGUAUCAUUAUAACUGCCAGUGGGUUGCAGUUCUUUUAUUUUAUUACCCUGCUCAGUUUAUUUAAUGCUCAGGAGUCUGGCAUCAAAAGAAUUAUUUUGAACAGAGUUCUACUAAAACAGGGAAAGAAAUCUCUCUGACAGUGAGCAUUUAAAGUGGAAUCCAGCAGACUUCAAAGGCUUAGAGAUGAGGAAAAUCCCCUAAAUUUAUUGAAUUCUCCUAAUUUUUGCUCAUGACUUGCAAACUGUUACUCAGGCUGUGGCAUUACUAUGUGCUUUUACAAAUACCUGCCUUAUCAUAGUAGUGCAUCUGUGGAAUGAUAGAUAUUUUCUAUAUUUGGAUACUUCACUCUUCACCUUUAUACUCCACUUAACCAGUGAUAUUCCCUAGACCCAGAAUAUUUUUAAGUGUUCUGGUUCUGGUUGGCCAGUAGAAUUCUGCUGUCUUCAGACUGCUUUACAAUGAUACCACAGCCUGGUGGAAGGACCAAAGGAUAGAUAAUUCUGCUACCAACUCAGCUAGAAACCCAGGGAAAGCUGUGGUCCCAAUGCUGCUCAGCCUUUCUUUUCUGAACUGUGAUUCUCAGUGGUAAAUUAGCAGUAGACUCACAAGAAUGAUUUCAAAGCUUAAACCCUUGUUUUCUUACUUGCUGUGAAUGCAUUACACUGUAUGACAAGUAUCAUAACUCUAAAAUAGGAGAGAAAAUCGCUUCGAAAUGCAUCUCAGCAAGAUUUUAAUCCCAUUUUGCUCUUUAACAAUGUGCCAUUAAAUUGUUACUUUUAGUUUUCCACAACAAGCCUCUAUGUCAGGUGCUGUUCUGGGAAAAAGCAGGGAGUGGCAAUGGGAAAACAUUCCAAGUUGCUGACAGUGAGGCUGAGUACCAUGGACAGUGGCCUGAUAGUCCCGUGACAAAACACUCCCAGCCCAACUCCUCUGCAGCUGAGUGCUCAAAUAUUUCUUUAUCUGCUUCUACUGAAAUCACAAGACAUUAAAAGCACUGCUGUUUUCUUUUAUUUCACUUUUCCCUGCAAAUAGCCCUGGUAGUGGAUAAGAAAACAUUCAGCCCAGUCUGGGGAAGUGCGGACUACCAAAACAGAAAACCAAUAUGUAGCAUAAAAGACCCAAUGUUAAAACUGUUCUCACCAGCCAUUGCAUGGCUCAGUUUUCCAUGCCAGCAGAUCCAUAAAACACAGAAGGAGCACAUGUGAGGCACUUUUUACACAGAGAUCUCAUAAAACUGCUGAUAGGGGAGCUCCUGGAUCAAUACAAAAUGAAACAUCAGCAAAGAGCAAUGCAAAAGAAUGAAAAAAGAGAUUUUUUCAGUCCACCCUUCUUGGCUUGAGGGGAUGGUUGUUGUGGGGGCUUUUGGGUUGUUUGUAUUUUUUGUUUUGGUUUGGUUUCAUUCAUGUAUUUUGAACAUGAAGCGUGGUAUGUAGCUAUGUUAACAAGGGCACCCAAAGCCAGAGACACAAGACAUAUAUUGAUUUAUGUACUUAUCACCUAGCAACAUUCAAGUACUGAGGGGACCUGUCUGCAACUGAAAUAAAAAACGGAUGAAAACUGUUUUGGCUUAAAAGUAACAAACAGUAAACGGAGAUCAGGAAAUUCAGCUGAAAAGUCUGCUUGACCCAGCUAGAAAUCCAUCUUAAAUGACUUUGCUGUUAAUACAUUUUGCUUGAACAGAAUGAAGUGAAAAAAAUGGAUCAGGUGACUCCAUCUGAAGUGUUGUCAAUGAAAUGCUUUUCCCCCUUAAGAACAGUCCAUUGCCAAAUGAUUACAUCUCAGCAUCAAGAGAGAAAACAAUGGAUUUCUUAUCUAGUACAAAAAAAAGCACAUAGAGAAAAUAAUCCACAAGACUGUAGAAUUUAACAGAGGUGCCAACAAAAGGUUUACUGGGGGUGAAGGGAUGAAGAAAAAAAGAGUCCCAAGCACUGCUGUGGACUGGGUUAAAUACAGAGGCAAAUCAAUGGGUGGGUACAAACAGAUAACCAAUAAGGAAUCCUUAGAGAAGGAGUGGAGAGCAGGGUCUUGCAAAGUGCAAACCAAUGGGGGAAGCAGGGGAAGAAGAAAGGGUCACAUGGGCCAAUGGGGCAUCGAGUAACAGGGGAUUUCCAAGGGGAGGAGCAACCAGGGAUUGGCCCAGGGUGGGAAUGACAGGGAAGGUUCCAGAACAAGGGGCGGGGUUACAAUGAUGGACAGGGAAGGUUCCAGAACAAGGGGCAGGGUUACAGUUCCAGAACAAGGGGCAGGGUUACAGUGAUGGACAGGGAAGGUUCCAGAACAAGGGGCAGGGUUACAGUGAUGGACAGGGAAGGAACUGGAACAAGGGGCAGGGUUACAAUGAUGGACAGGGAAGGUUCCAGAACAAGGGGCAGGGUUACAAUGAUGGACAAGGAAUGAACUGGAACAAGGGGCAGGGUUACAAUGAUGGACAGGGAAGGUUCCAGAACAAGGGGCAGGGUUACAGUGAUGGACAGGGAAUAUUCCAGAACAAGGGGCAGGGUUACAAUGAUGGACAGGGAAGGGACUGGAACAAGGGGCAGGGUUACAGUGAUGGACAGGGAAGGUUCCAGAACAAGGGGCAGGGUUACAAUGAUGGACAGGGAAGGUUCCAGAACAAGGGGCAGGGUUACAGUUCCAGAACAAGGGGCAGGGUUACAGUGAUGGACAAGGAAUGAACUGGAACAAGGGGCAGGGUUACAGUGAUGGACAAGGAAUGAACUGGAACAAGGGGAUUGGAAUGCCAGGGCAGUUUCAGGGUUGGAUACAACUUAGGAACAAACCAACUUGGGGAAAACACAGGGGCUAACUGGAACAAACCAUUAUGAACUUAAUAAAACAAACACAUACCACAACAGGGAAGGUGAUGGGAGGAUCUGGGCUCUUCAUCUGUUCCUUUGUUCUGUCUGGGCUCUUUAGUUCCCUCUCCUUUUUGCUCAAACGUAGACAUUGUAAAACGGAGAUGUUUUACUCGGUUGCAUGCUGGCCAUCUUCGCUACCCAUCGCCAAAGGUGCGUGAAGAGAGGUGUGUUGUUUUUGGUAUUCUUUCGGUUUUGAUAACACAUGAACAUUGUACUAUACUUUAUUAUUUCUUGUUCAAUAAAUAGUCCUGGUAUCUCUAUGUUUCAUGUCUAAUUUUGGAGAGUAGGGCCAUACCUGUAUCAAGGCUCUCUCAAUUAGGUGGGCAUUUUGUUUGUUUAGUAGAAAUAAUGCAUGAUUCCUUUCGCAGUGAUGGUUUGAGGGACAAAAAAAUUCUUAAUUUUGUAAUAUGUAUUACAAUCUUCUAAACACAAGUAAAAAUGUACUGUGAUUUAUUUAUAUAAAUCUAGUCUGAACAAAUAAGUUUUGAUCUUAAUAAAAACUGUAAGAAAUUG